CUCAGCUCUUCGCUUUAAAAACUUGUACAAGCCAAGUGGUACAUCGCAGAACGUGAAGAAGAAAAAGAGUGUGCUCUAGAAGACAAACAAUGUUGGUGCCAUUUGAGCCAGGAAGGAAUGUCCAGUGAAUCUGCUUGAAUCAAUAAGGACUAACACACAAAUAUUUUGCAUCUUUACUACAUUCUGAAUUCUGUUGUGAAUAACUCAGCCUACAUGUUCCAAAUAAGGUAUGUAAACUAUUAUUUUAUGAAAUAAAAAAAACAAACU
rnacentral:lncRNA from 1 species